UAGUAGGCAGACGAGAGAGCGAGCGAGAGAGAGAGAGAGAGAGAGAGAUAGAGAGAGAGACUUUAGAGUCUUAUCACUCCCGUGGAUUUGCAGCUUUGCAGCUGAGCUCACCAGAAGAUCAUCAUCUCAGGAGUGAGAAUGAGAGAAAGAAGAGGAGGAGAGAACAAAUGACAGCAGUAAAUUUGACUGUGGUGGAAGAACGAGUAAAGAACCUCAAGAGACGCAGAGCGAGAGAGGGAGAGGGAGAGAGAGAGAGAGAGAGAGAGAGAGUGGUGGAAUAUGCUGAACCUGAUGAAAAGCGCUGGACCGUCCUAACAUCCCCUCACUCCCUCGCUUCCUCCCUCCUCUUCUAGCCGGCUUCUUUGUCACUGACCCUGAUCAAGAUUCUCUCAGUGUGUGUGCUGUGUGAAGUGUCUCCGCAGCGCUCGCACUUGCACUCACGCUCAGCCGAACACAUUCACACGCACAUGUUCACACACACACACACACACACACACACACACACACACACACACACACACACACACAAAGAAGAGGAGGAGGAGGACGGCUCAGGAUUAAGGCAGGACUAACUUUCCGCUUCUCUGAGAUGGACUGAAGUGAGUGUACGCUGUCCUGCACACUCGUACAAGACGCGCAACUCCUCCAGAUCUCCACAGCGUCCUCGUCCUCGUCCUCACUGGCCGUCAUGCAGGUGUCCAUCGCCUGCACCGAGCACAAUCUGAAGGGCCGGAAUGGAGAACACGGCAAGCAGAGUGCCACCAGUCCUAACGUGGUGAACGCAGCUCGCGCCAAAUUUCGCACCGUGGCCAUCAUCGCGCGUAGCUUCGGCUCCUUCACCCCACGUCACCACAUCUCUCUCAAAGAGUCCACCGGAAAACACACGGGAAUGAAGUACCGGAACCUUGGGAAGUCUGGAUUACGAGUAUCGUGUCUGGGUCUUGGAACCUGGGUGACGUUUGGAGGACAGAUUUCUGAUGAGGUAGCAGAGCAGCUGAUGACCAUUGCCUAUGAGAGCGGUGUGAAUCUGUUUGACACAGCUGAGGUUUACGCUGCAGGAAAAGCUGAAGUCAUCCUGGGAAACAUUAUCAAGAAAAAGAGCUGGAGGAGAUCCAGUUUAGUGAUUACAACAAAGCUCUACUGGGGAGGAAAAGCCGAGACUGAAAGAGGUCUUUCCAGAAAGCAUAUAAUAGAAGGUCUUAAAGGUUCCCUACAGAGGAUGCAGCUGGAAUACGUAGACGUGGUCUUCGCCAACCGUCCUGACAGCAACACGCCGAUGGAGGAGAUCGUGAGGGCGAUGACACAUGUGAUCAACCAGGGGAUGGCUAUGUACUGGGGGACGUCCCGAUGGACAGCCAUGGAGAUUAUGGAAGCGUACUCAGUGGCAAGGCAGUUUAACCUCAUCCCCCCAGUGUGCGAACAGGCCGAGUAUCACCUCUUUCAGAGGGAGAAAGUGGAGGUGCAGUUGCCCGAGCUCUACCACAAGAUAGGCGUAGGAGCCAUGACAUGGUCGCCCCUCGCCUGUGGAAUCAUCACCGGAAAGUAUGAAAAUGGCAUCCCAGAAUCCUCCAGAGCUUCAAUGAAGUCAUACCAGUGGCUGAAGGAGAAGAUCUUCAGUGAGGAUGGGAGGAAGCAGCAGGCUAAGCUGAAGGAGUUAUCUCACAUCGCUGAGAGGCUCGGCUGCACUCUGCCACAGCUGGCUCCUGGUGUCUGAGGAACGAAGGAGUGAGUUCGGUUCUUUUAGGAACUUCUAACCCAGAACAGCUAACAGAAAACCUGGGAGCCAUUCAGGUUCUACCCAAGAUGACGUCCCAUAUAGUGACCGAGAUUGACCACAUACUUGGAAACAGGCCGUACACUAAGAAGGACUAUCGCUCGUAGGGGUUUGGGUUACAUCAUCCUGGUGCAUUUCCUGAAUCUGAACACCUCUCUCCUCCUCCUCCUUCUCCUCCUUCUCAUCUUCCUGGGUUUGCUCUGUCAAAGGGAUCUGUGAGAGAGCCUCGCCUCGCCUUGCCUCGCUUCGUCUAGCCUCGCUCGUGUCCUGUUUGUGCAUGCCCCCCAGUGCCCCUUACUAAUUCAACAGCUACACAUCACCAUGAUGUCAAACACCGUCUGUGGAAUAAAUACAUAAAUACGCACAAAAUCACAAAUCUUCACGAAGCAAGCGAACGUCGUGCUCCGAGAGCCGCACCGCCGACACCCUACUCCGACCUUCGGAAUUGUCCCCGAUCCUCACGUGUCUUCUGCUCGGUGGGCUUUGAGCCAAGGGAUGUACUGGAGACCUGGAGAUUGUAGAGGCUGGAAGUGUGGAGCAUGUCUGACUCUGCUGUUAGGAACGGGAGAACUUCAGCCUGGCUUUCGCUCAGCUGAAGAGGAACAAGGUGUCCCGUUCCAUGCAUCCGUACCCGGUCUUUACCUGCUUAACGAAAGCUCGCAUUAGUAAUUUGCAUCUGAUUAAAGAAAGCCUGUUCCCUU